rnacentral:rRNA from 1 species
GGUGUAGGCGGCCUGUCAAGUCAGAUGUGAAAUCUCCCGGCUCAACUGGGAGGAUGCAUUUGAAACUGAUGGGCUAGAGUGCAGCAGAGGAAGAUGGAAUUCCCGGUGUAGUGGUGAAAUGCGUAGAUAUCGGGAAGAACACUAGUGGCGAAGGCGGUCUUCUGGGCUGUAACUGACGCUGAGACCCGAAGGCUGGGAGCAAACA